GUGAUUGCUUUGGCAGCACAUACUAAAAAUUGGAAUGAUACAGAGAAGAUUAGUGUGGUGGCUGUGCAAGGAUGGCAUGCAAAUUUUUGAAGAUAUAUAUGUAUAU
ensembl:snRNA U6 U6 spliceosomal RNA